CCUACGGGAGGCUGCAGUGAGGAAUAUUGGUCAAUGGGCGCAAGCCUGAACCAGCCAUGCCGCGUGCAGGAUGAAGGCCUUAUGGGUUGUAAACUGCUUUUGUAUGGGAACAAUAAGGUGUACGUGUACAUUGAUGAGUGUACUAUACGAAUAAGCAUCGGCUAACUCCGUGCCAGCAGCCGCGGUAAUACGGAGGAUGCGAGCGUUAUCCGGAUUUAUUGGGUUUAAAGGGUGCGUAGGCGGGUUAAUAAGUCAGUGGUGAAAGUUUGCAGCUUAACUGUAAAAUUGCCAUUGAUACUGUUAGUCUUGAGUAUGAUUGAGGUAGGCGGAAUGUGUGGUGUAGCGGUGAAAUGCUUAGAUAUCACACAGAACACCGAUUGCGAAGGCAGCUUACUGAGUCACAACUGACGCUGAGGCACGAAAGUGUGGGGAUCAAACAGGAUUAGAUACCCCGGUAGUC
rnacentral:rRNA from 1 species